rnacentral:lncRNA from 1 species
GGAGAAACGGGAUCCUGGGGUCAUUACCUAUGACCUCCCAACCCCACCCGGGGAAAAGAAAGGCCCCUCAAAUGCCUGUCCUAUGAUGUGAGUGACGGAGAUCCCGAUCCCUCUCUGCCAGCACGUCUCCUUCCCAGAGUGCUCCCAGCCACGGCACUGAGCCCUCCCUUCCUCUCCCCCAGAUGUCAGUGGCCCCAUGCCCGACUCCUACAGCCCUCGGUAUGUGGAGGCUGCCUGGUACCCUUGGUGGGAGCAGCAGGGCUUCUUCAAGCCAGAGUAUGGGCGUCCUAAUGUGUCAGCAGCAAAUCCCCGAGGUGUCUUCAUGAUGUGCAUCCCACCCCCCAAUGUGACAGGCUCCCUGCACCUGGGCCAUGCACUCACCAACGCCAUCCAGGACUCCCUGACUCGAUG